UGAACGCUGGCGGCAGGCCUAACACAUGCAAGUCGAACGGCAGCACAGGAGAGCUUGCUCUCUGGGUGGCGAGUGGCGGACGGGUGAGGAAUAUAUCGGAAUCUACCCUUUCGUGGGGGAUAACGUAGCGAAAGCUACGCUAAUACCGCAUACGCACUGAGGUGGAAAGCGGGGGAUCGCAAGACCUCGCGCUAUUGGAGCGGCCGAUGGCAGAUUAGCUAGUUGGUGGGGUAAAAGCCUACCAAGGCGACGAUCUGUAGCUGGUCUGAGAGGACGACCAGCCACACUGGGACUGAGACACGGCCCAGACUCCUACGGGAGGCAGCAGUGGGGAAUUUUGGACAAUGGACGCAAGUCUGAUCCAGCCAUGCCGCGUGCGGGAAG
rnacentral:rRNA from 1 species